ACGCGGCACGUGGAAAAAGGACCUCUAGAAGUAAACAGCCUUCUGGGAGUGUGUUGAGAGAGAGAGAGAAAGAAGCUGAGUAAGCCACCGACAAACCAUAGCAACAAGUUGCUACGGUGCUGCGAAGCGAACUCGGAAGGACGCGCGGCGCGGUGCAUUGACGAGCGGCCGAUGGCGAGGCACAUCGCCACCGAACCGGAACGCAGCCAGUGAGAAACUCGAUACUAACCUGCCGACGAGUCCUGCGGGAACCCAGAAGCGUGUCGUAGUCAUCGCCUGGCACGGCCAUAAUUCGCCAUAAUUCGCGAACGACGGGAACUGGCAGUGCUCGGCUCGG